rnacentral:rRNA from 1 species
AACGAACGCUGGCGGCAUGCCUAACACAUGCAAGUCGAACGAGACCUUCGGGUCUAGUGGCGCACGGGUGCGUAACGCGUGGGAACCUGCCCUUAGGUUCGGAAUAACUCCCCGAAAGGGGUGCGAAUACCGGAUAAUGUCUUCGGACCAAAGAUUUAUCGCCUUUGGAUGGGCCCGCGUUGGAUUAGCUAGUUGGUAGGGUAAAAGCCUACCAAGGCUACGAUCCAUAGCUGGUCUGAGAGGAUGAUCAGCCACACUGGGACUGAGACACGGCCCAGACUCCUACGGGAGGGAGCAGUGGGGAAUAUUGGACAAUGGGCGAAAGGAUGAUCCAGCAAUGACGCGUGAGUGAUGAAGGCCUUAGGGUUGUAAAGCUAUUUUACCCGGGAUGAUAAUGACAGUACCGGGAGAAUAAGCUCCGGCUAACUCCGUG